rnacentral:rRNA from 1 species
CGAGUGGUAGCCACUAUUAUUGGGCCUAAAGCGUUCGUAGCCGGUUUAGUAAAUUCUUGGGUAAAUCGUACAGCUUAACUGUGCGGAUUCCGGGGACACUACUAGACUUGAGACCGGGAGAGAUUAGAGGUACUUGCAGGGGAGCGGUGAAAUGUUGUAAUCCUGCAGGGACCACCAGUGGCGAAGGCGUCUAAUCAUAACGGCUCUGACGGUGAGGAACGAAACCCUGGGGCGCAAACGGGAUUAGAUACCCCGGUAGUCCAGGGCGUAAACGCUGCUGACUUGGUGUUGGAGAUCCUACGAGGGUGUCCAGUGCUGGCGCGAAGGUAUUAAGUCAGCCGCCUGGGGAGUACGGUCGCAAGACUGAAACUUAAAGGAAUUGGCGGGGGAGCACUGCAACGUGUGGAGCGUGCGGUUUAAUUGGAUUCAACGCCGGAAAACUCACCGGGGGCGACGGUUACAUGAAGGCCAAGCUGAUGACUUUGCCUGAUUUUCCGAGAGGUGGUGCAUGGCCGCCGUCAGUUCGUACCGUAAGGCGUUCUGUUAAGUCAGAUAACGAACGAGACCUCCGUCACCAUUUGCUAUCUUCUUCUCCGGAAGGAGAGCACUAUGGUGGUACCGCCGCUGUUAAAGCGGAGGAAGGAGGGGGCAACGGUAGGUCAGUAUGCCCCGAAUCUCCCGGGCUACACGCGCGCUACAAAGGGCAGGACAAUGGGCUUCGACACCGAAAGGUGAAGGCAAUCCUGAAACCUGCUCGUAAUUCGGAUUGAGGGCUGCAAUUCGCCCUCAUGAAGCUGGAAUACGUAGUAAUCGCGGGUCAACAUCCCGCGGUGAAUAUGCCCCUGCUCCUUGCACACACCGCCCGUCAAACCACCUUAGUUGGGUCUGGACGAGGGUUUGUCUUCUGACACGCUCGAAUCUGAAUUCAGCGAGGAGGGUUAAGUCGUAACAAGGUAUCCGUA